rnacentral:rRNA from 1 species
AGAUUGAACGCUAGCGGCAUGCCUAACACAUGCAAGUCGAACGAGGCCGCAAGGCCUAGUGGCGGACGGGUNAGUAAGGCAUCGGAAUCUGCCCUGAUGUGGGGGAUAACGUAGGGAAACUUACGCUAAUACCGCAUACGACCGAGAGGUGAAAGCGGGGGACCGAAAGGCCUCGCGCAGCAGGAUGAGCCGAUGUCCGAUUAGCUAGUUGGUGAGGUAAAGGCCCACCCAAGGCGACGACGGGUAGCUGGUCUGAGAGGACGAUCAGCCACACUGGGACUGAGACACGGCCCAGACUCCUACGGGAGGCAGC